GUCCACGCCCUAAACGAUGUCGACUGGUUGUUGGGUGGGUAACCACUUAGUAACGAAGCUAACGCGUUAAGUCGACCGCCUGGGGAGUACGGUCGCAAGAUUAAAACUCAAAGGAAUUGACGGGGACCCGCACAAGCGGUGGAUGAUGUGGUUUAAUUCGAUGCAACGCGAAAAACCUUACCUACACUUGACAUGUCAGAGAUCCUGCAGAGAUGUGGGAGUGCCGCAAGGAAUCUGAACACAGGUGCUGCAUGGCUGUCGU
rnacentral:rRNA from 1 species